AGGCAGUGCGGGGGACAGCCCAACAUGUGGAGGCAGAGCGUUCCAGAGCGUUCCAGAGCGUUCCAGAGCGUUCCAGAGCGUUGGAGCUGCAACUGAAAAGGCUCGGUCACCCCUGAGCUUUAACGUUGACCUUGUGACAGUCAGAAACAACUGCUCAGUGGAUCUGAGAGUCCUUGAUAAGAGAUGUGAUUUUAAAAGGUCUGAGAGAUACGUUGGAGCUUGCCCAUUCAACUAUUUAUAUGUUAAUAAUAAAAUCUUGAAAUCAAUCCUAAAACGCACAGGGAGCCAGUGAAGAGAAGCCAGAAUAGAGGAGAUCACGUUUACGAGUACCGGUUAAAAGACGAGCUGCCGCGUUCUGAACAAGCUGCAGGCGAGACAAAGAGGCUAGACCAGAGGUCAGCAACCUUUACUAUCAAAAGAGACAUUUUAGGCAAAAAGAAAAAUCUGUCUGGAGCCGCUAAACAUUUGAGCAUUGUGAUGAAGGGAGCCACUGGAGAGGAGCUAAAGAGACGCAUGAGGCUCCAGAGCCGCAGGUUGCUGACCCCUGGGCUAGGCUAACACCAAUGUAAAGGGCAUCAUUAAUUGCUCAACAUCAGCAUUUUAGCAUACUGAUGUUAGCAUUUAGCUCAAAUCACAGACUCACAGUGCCGCUAGCAUGGCUGUAGACUCUGUCUUGUUUGUUGAUUGACUAAUCCAUUAAUAGACUUGUGCUAAAACAU